rnacentral:rRNA from 1 species
CAAGGCUUGACAUGCACCUGAAAAGGCUGGAAACAGUCUCCUCGCAAGACAGGUGCACAGGUGGUGCAUGGUUGUCGUCAGCUCGUGUCGUGAGAUGUUGGGUUAAGUCCCGCAACGAGCGCAACCCUCGUUCUAUGUUGCCAGCGCGUUAUGGCGGGAACUCAUAGGAGACUGCCGGGGUCAACUCGGAGGAAGGUGGGGAUGACGUCAAAUCAUCAUGCCCCUUAUGUCUUGGGCUUCACGCAUGCUACAAUGGCCGGUACAAAGGGCUGCAAUACCGUAAGGUGGAGCGAAUCCCAAAAAGCCGGUCUCAGUUCGGAUUGAGGUCUGCAACUCGACCUCAUGAAGUCGGAGUCGCUAGUAAUCGCAGAUCAGCAACGCUGCGGUGAAUA